GAUAAUUGGAGUGAAAGUAUCUUCCAGUCUCACCUGAGGCAGGAGGAUCACUUGAGUCCAGGAGUUCUUGGCUAUAGUGUUAUGCCAGUUGAGUUUCUGCACUAAGUUUGGCAUCAAUAUGGUGAACUCCCAGGAGUGGGGGACCACCAAGUUGCACAAGGUGGGAUGAACCAGCCCAGGUUGGAAAUGGAGUAGGUCAAAACUCCCAAGCUGAUCAAUAGUGGGAUGGUGCCUGUGAAUAGCCACUGCACUCCAGCCUGAGCAAUAUAGCAAGAUCCCAUCUCUA
rfam:Nomascus leucogenys chromosome 18, whole genome shotgun sequence.